GCUCUACACCAAGUGGGGAAACUGUUCCAACCCGAGGGCCAUAUACUUUUCUGGGCAACUUUCCAGAGGCUGCUUGCCAGUGCUCAUUGGAGCCUGAGGCCCAAAGUAAGUGGAGUAAUGCAUGCAACUCUUGCCUUUACACAGUAGGCUACUAUUAUGUAUUCAGUGGUCUGAGCUUGAGUCUGGACUAAGGAUUCCGAGCCCUUGUGCUCUGAUUCGAUACAUGAUAUCCAAUCACGUAGCAUUAUAAGUGUUUGGGCAAUUGGCAUUGGCUCUUAAGCUCUGAGUUAUGAUUCGCAGCUUGGGGGUUUAAACAGCCAAUCAUGUUGGGAGCGGUAGUGGCCCAGGCUUUCAGAAAUACAUAUACAGUGGUACCUCAGGUUACAUAUGCUUCAGGUUACAUACACUUCAGCUUACAGACUCCGCUAACCCAGAAAUAGUGCUUCAGGUUAAGAACUUUGCUUCAGGAUAAGAACAGAAAUCGGGCUCUGGUGGUGCAGUGGUAGCAGGAGGCCCCAUUAGCUAAAGUGGUGCUUCAGGUAAAGAUCAGUUUCAGGUUAAGAAUGGACCUCCGGAACGAAUUAAGUACUUAACCUGAUGUACCACUGUAAGCAGUUGGUUUGCUCCUGUUGUUCUGUUCUGUUUGUUCAAUAAAGGAUGGAUCUACACACAGGGAGGAAAAACACUAUAAAUAAGUCAGAAAUUAAAUCGUCAUUACAAAAGAAAAAAAAGCUAUAGAAAAUCGCUUAUAUAUUUUUUGCUCUCUGGCACCAUCUGGUGUUGCAUGUUUAUAACGCAUUCAAAACACUGUUUCUUGACUAAUGUAGCUGAGUCCAAAGUCUUGUGCUAUUAUCACUGUGUCUCACCUCGUAGAAAACCACGUACACAUCAGUGACAUUAUAGGCAUGUUUAAAUCAAAGGUUCCUACACAGAGAGACAUACAUACAGGUGCACAUACAGGUGAAUCAUGGUUCAGGAACACAUUCCAAACAGGCAAAGCACAGGCCAAACCUUUCAAACACUCCAAUUUCUUUUAUAAGAACUAUCCACUUUGUAUCACAUUUUCUUCAUGUUAUGGACAUAUCAAGCAUUAACCCCAAAAAAGCCUGACUGGUUUCAGAAUUUGCGUCACCACAGCCAAAGGAGAUUCUGUGUAAAAGGUGUGAAAUUGACCUUUAGAAUUUGGUUUAGAGUCCAAUGGUAUUGUUCUUCAGUUAUUGGAAUUGUAUGUCUUUCUAGUGCCUUACUCUGCUAAUGAACAAAUAAAGCAGUUUCUUAGAAGUCAGUUCUUAAAUGUAUCAUCCCAUACAAUACAGUAAACCACCAACAGGCACAGCCCAUUGCUUCUCAUGGUAUGUGGGGUUCAGUCAUAUAAAGACUGAAAAUAAGCCAACAGCCUGUAGCUACAAACCCCUCACCACAGCAGCAGCAACAACAACAAAAAAUCAGACACCCAUGUCUGAAUCCUAUUUACAUCUCCCCCAAUAUGACCUGGACCUAGUUUUCUGAAAUUUGGCAGGCUUAAUCCAUCCUGGGAAGAUGCCUAUGCUUGUAAAUUUCACCCACUUUGUCCAAAAGGGGGAAAGUUAUAGGCAUUUUUAAAUUCCAACAAUUGUAUAUAAUAUAUGCAUAUGUAUGCACUGAUUCCCCUGCUCGCCUGCCUCACACUAAUCUGUACAGUAAGGCCACCAUUUUCAUAUAUAUCACAUGCCGCUUUUUAUAUUCUUCCCAAAUAAAUGGUCUCAGUGGAAUGUGUAAUAGCACCAUAAAUAUGUUCUAAAUAAUUGACCAAUGAUCAUUUCAUUGUAGUAACAUAAUAAACCUUAUUUGUAAUGUCUUGCUCAAAAGUUAGCUGAACACGUUUUUUUUAAAGCCAAACAUAAGGGAGGAUUCUAGCCAGAGGAAAGAAGAACUAUCAGGAUUUUUUAUCCCAAAUUACCUUAGCUUUCCAUAAGAUUAAUUUGAAUCCAAUAUGUAAAACCCAAGUAAGAUUUAAGGUUUGGUUAUUGACUAUGUAACAGGAACACUUGGCAGGCAAUGAGAUGAAUAAAUCAUCUUGCAGCUUACAAUAAUAUUUCUGUGCCAAAUCACUUCCCAUAGAAAUGCAAUGACUGCUAGAACUAGGAAAAAUGUGGGAAAUUAAUUAAAGCACCGCAGUUGUCUUCCCCUCUGCUCACUCUUUACUGCUGUAUCUCUCAUUAAGUUGCUAGCUAGUAUUUUGAGAGCACAAUGAUGUGAUCUAAAAAUAUGUAGGUGCAGUGCUGGAAAUAUGUUAUUCAUUUUGCAGCCUAAAUACCAUAAAUUUCAAAACAAUGAUUAGGGGGUUAGGACUUCAGAGUUGCCGGGAUAAUCUGGGGACUGCAUCCAAAGCUCAUUUCAGAUCACCACUGAUUACUCUCCAGGAACAACUCUGCCUAUGGUUUUAUUCAGCGAUUUGUAUUCUGAACAAUUAAAUAGGCCUAUUUACUCGAUAUGCAUGCUGAAGAUGCAAUUCCUCUCAUUUUAAAACAGGGGUGGGUACAUAGGUGCCAACUCCCUGGGACCCUGGGUGCCCUAGCACCCACAAAAGUCCCCAUGAAGGGGAUGGGCACCCACAAAUUUGCUGCAUGGCCCUGAGCUGUGACUCCUGGGUGGGUAUCCUGUUGCCCUCCUUAGCCUACUACUCCCAUUAUUCCUGAAUUUUCAACAUGCUGGCUAGGGAUGAUGGGAGCUGGAGAACAACAUCAUUCAGAAGAGCAGUUUCCCUAUUCCUGCCAGAUGGGUGAUUGUUUCUGACCUGUGUUGAUAACAUUGCUAGGAUUGCGACGGGGUACAAAAUAGUGGGACCACAGCAAAUGAUUUAGAACACACAAAAGCAAAUUCUUUCUGACACUGUAAACAUAUUUAGGACCUUCUUAGCAGCUAAAAAGUAACUACAGUGGUACCUCGGGUUAAGAACUUAAUUCGUUCCUGAGGUCCGUUCUUAACCUGAAACUGUUCUUAACCUGAAGCACCACUUUAGCUAAUGGGGCCUCCCGCUGCCGCUGCGCAAUUUCUGUUCUCAUCCUGAAGCAAAGUUCUUAACCUGAGGUACUAUUUCUGGGUUAGUGGAGUCUGUAACCUCAAAUAUCUGUAACCUGAAGCGUCUGUAACCCGAGAUACCACUGUAUGUACUUCCUGAAAGCCACUGUGGCAUAAUGAAUAGCGGAUCAGGCUCAGACAGGGGAGAUCUGGUUUCAAACCCAGACAGACAGACAUGCAUCCUGGAUUUUAGUCUUGUGAUAUUUCUUCCUCUCUGACUUGUAGCACAUUGUACUACUGAUGUGAACUACUUGAUUAGGGUAAUUCUCCCUCAGGGGGGGCGUCUUAUACAUGGAAAAAUAUGAUAAAUGCCUUAAAUAAUAAUAAAUUAAUAAAUACAAACACAACCCCCAAAGCGAGUGAAAAUCAAUCAGAAACCAACCAAAGCAGGUGUAAAAUUAAAUUCAAACAAACAAACAAAUCCACAAUCCAUCGAAACUCCAUCAAAGAGGGAGUCUGACAAGUUCCAGAAUCUGAGUGCUGCCAUGCAGAACAUUCCCUACAUCCCAGCGAACACACCUUAGUAGGCAAUGGGACAUGGAACGUGCUUAUCUGAGAAAAGACGGUCCUUCAGUUAUCCUGCUCUCGAAGUUUAGGGUAGCCUUUCCCAAUCUGGUAGCCUAAAGAUGUUUCACAGUAUUUCCCCUGACUGGCUAGGGCCCAUAAGAAUCGUAGUGCAAAUUUAAGAUUUACACGUAGCCACUGAGAAAUACUAGAAAAGUUUCCAGAUAACACCAAUGUUUCCUGGAAAACAAUCUGAAGGAAAAACAUGUAUUGAACUAUGCCAAGUAGAGUCUCUUCAGGCAUUCAGGGAAUUGUGCAAACCAACACGUGAUUGAUAUUGUGUGUGUGUGUGUGUGUGCGCGCGCAUGCGCGCGCAUGCUGACUUUGCUCUGUUUACCUUCCCCAGAUGGAAGGAGAAUAGUCUGAAUGGGCAGCCUGAUCCACAAGUGCGUAAGACUCAAACAAACACCAUGAAAAAAUCUCAUAUUCAUUUUGAAAAGGUUAGGGGCAGCUUCUUCAUGCCUACUUCCCAUCUCCACCUGUACUUUCAAGACCUGUUAACUAACUUGCUUUUCCUUUCA